UACGGAGGGUGCAAACGUUGCUCGGAAUCAUUGGGCGUAAAGCGCACGUAGGUGGCUUGUUAAGUCGGGUGUGAAAUCCCUGGGCUCAACCCAGGAAGUGCACUCGAAACUGGCGAGCUUGAGUACUGAAGAGGGUCGCGGAAUUCCCGGUGUAGAGGUGAAAUGCGUAGAUAUCGGGAGGAAUACCAGUGGCGAAGGCGGCUGCCUGGCCUGUUCUUGACGCUGAGGCGCGAAAGCUGGGGGAGCAAACGGG
rnacentral:rRNA from 1 species